UGUAAGUUAGUGGCGGACGGGUGAGUAACGCGUGGGUAACCUGCCUUGUACUGGGGGACAACAGUUGGAAACGACUGCUAAUACCGCAUAAGCGCACAGGGCCGCAUGGCCUGGUGUGAAAAACUCCGGUGGUGUAAGAUGGACCCGCGUCUGAUUAGGUAGUUGGUGGGGUAACGGCCCACCAAGCCGACGAUCAGUAGCCGACCUGAGAGGGUGACCGGCCACAUUGGGACUGAGACACGGCCCAA
rnacentral:rRNA from 1 species